GAAGUUAUAGCUUAAUGGUUAAAGCAGAUCACUCAUAAUGUUCGUAUCAGAGUUCAAUUCUCUGUAACUUUA
rnacentral:tRNA from 2 species